UUCUAUUUUCUUGCUCCAGAACUGGUUGUAGGCGAGACACCGCCGGCGUUCUCCAUCAUGGGGGCGGAGCAGAGCAAUGAGCAUGACAUCCGGCAUGGAGAUUCCAACUCUGCACAUCCCUCACCGGCCAGACAGAGAGCGAAGAUGGACGACAUUGUAGUGGUGGCUCCUGGGACACAGUCUCUCCGGAACAUCACAAAGGACCC